GGAGUGGGCACCUGACUUUUCCAGGUCAAAUGGGAAAUCUUAGGGUAUAACUGCAAUUUAUUAAAUUAUCCUUUGUAUUUUCUGUAUAAAAUCUCCUACCUCUACCCUCUCUCUAAUCUUCUGAGGUACCAGGUAUCCUAUUUACUGAGAUUUUUUUGUGCAGCUGAAUUUAUGUUGGCAUUUGCUUCUGUGGGUCUUUAGAAUUUGUUUUCUCCAGUUCAUUUAAGUCAGUUACCACUUGUUCAUUCACUUGCACUUCCCAAACCAUCUCACUUGCUGUUAUCCUUUGCCUGUUCUAUGUGUUGUUUGGGGUUCAUAACUUUUUAAAACAUUUUUACUCUCAUUUCACCAGGUACUCAGAAAGGAACAGAGAAGUAUGUUUCCAAUUCACCAUACUUAAUUAUCAGCCUAGCCUUCACUGAUUUUUCGGAGCGAUUAUAAGGUACCCAGGGGCAGAGUUCCCAUCUGUCUUGUUCAUGUCUCUAUAUUUCUCUAAAAUAUAGUGAGUACUCAUUAAGUGUGUUCAUCAAAUGAAAGGGAAAAAUAGGAAGAAACUAAAAAAGUGACACAAAAGGACAAAAAUCUAGCAUUUCACCAUGGGCGGGGGGGCAGUGUCUCUAUUCAUAGCUAAUCUUCAAGGUUACUUCAAAACCCUGGGAAAAUGUCUGGUAAGAGACCUGAUUGGCUGAUAUCUGGAAGAGAGAUUUUAACUUCGUGAUAGUGUUUUUAGUGUUACUCUAAGCCCAGGGGAGUUUCUUGAAGCAAAAAACAAACGAAAGAAAAAACGCAUUCAGGAAAUAAUUCUUUGCUAAUAAGGAUGCUCCUUGAACAUUUAUUAAUAAUCCUCUGGAUGCAGGUGACAUGGGUCAGUGGUCAGCAGCUGAAUCAGAGUCCUCAGUCUAUGUCUAUCCAGGAAGGAGAGGAUGUCUCCAUGAACUGCACUUCUUCAAGUACAUUUAACACCUUGCUAUGGUACAAGCAGGACGCUGGGGAAGGUCCUGUCCUCUUGAUAACCUUAUAUAAGAGUGGCGAAUUGACCAGGAAUGGGAGACUGACUGCUCAGUUUGGUAUAACCAGAAAGGACAGCUUCCUGAAUAUCUCAGCCUCCGUGCCUGGUGAUGUAGGCACCUACUUCUGUGCCGAGCAACACAGUGCUCCCCAAGCACCUGCAGCCUGUACUCAAACUUGCAGCUGGGACUGCAGUCUCUAUGCUGCCUUCAGCUCUUAGUCCUCUUGGCAUGAAAUGUGAUUAUGCAUGCCACCUAUGACCCUGUUAUUCCAUUACUCUGUUAUUCCAACUCUCCUUUAUCCAAGGAUUUGUUCCUCCAAAGAUUGUGCUCUUUGCUUGACGAACUUGCCCCGUCGAUUCAUUUUUAAUGUAUAUAAUAGAUUUUCUUUGUUAUUUCCGUCAAGAUAUGAGGAGAAUUGAUCAACACACAAUUACAGAAUAUUUUAAUAAAUAUCUCUUAAAAUGGAUUGAUAUCAAUAAAGAAAAAAUGAGAGUCCAGAA